GGUAAAAUGGCUGAUAAUAGGCGAUAAACUGUAAAUUUAUUUAUGAAACAGAGGUUUCUUUUACCA
rnacentral:tRNA from 1 species